rnacentral:rRNA from 1 species
GGAUAACCCGGAGAAAUCCGGACUAAUACCGCAUGGUACUCUUUGCACAGAAGUGUGAAGAUUUAAAGAUGCGAAUCGGUUGCGGACGGUCAUGCGUUCCAUUAGCUAGUUGGCGGGGUAACGGCCCACCAAGGCGACGAUGGAUAGGGGUUCUGAGAGGAAGGUCCCCCACACUGGUACUGAGACACGGACCAGACUCCUACGGGAGGCAGCAGUGAGGAAUAUUGGUCAAUGGGCGAGAGCCUGAACCAGCCAAGUCGCGUGAGGGAAGACGGCCCUAUGGGUUGUAAACCUCUUUUAGAUGGGAGUAAAGUGUUCUACGAGUAGGAUAUUGCAAGUACCAUCAGAAUAAGCAUCGGCUAAUUCCGUGCCAGCAGCCGCGGUAAUACGGAAGAUGCGAGCGUUAUCCGGAUUUAUUGGGUUUAAAGGGUGCGUAGGCGGGUGAUUAAGUCAGCGGUGAAAUGCGUCAGCUUAACUGGCGAACUGCCAUUGAAACUGGUUACCUUGAGUGUAGCGGAAGUAUGCGGAAUGCGUGGUGUAGCGGUGAAAUGCAUAGAUAUCACGCAGAACUCCGAUUGCGAAGGCAGCAUACCAUACUAUAACUGACGCUGAAGCACGAAAGCGUGGGUAUCGAACAGGAUUAGAUACCCUGGUAGUCCACGCAGUAAACGAAGAAUACUCACCGUUUGCGAUAUAAUGUAAGCGGUAAAG